GGAGCGUGUGGUUUAAUUCGAUGCGCGAAGAACCUUACCUGGGUUUGACAUAGGGGUAGUAGCGAGGUGAAAGCCGAGCGACCCUUCGGGGAGCCUCUACAGGUGCUGCAUGGCUGUCGUCAGCUCGUGUCGUGAGACGUUGGGUUAAGUCCCGCAACGAGCGCAACCCUCGUCGUUAGUUACAAGUGUCUAACGAGGCUGCUGGUUUCAAACCGGAGGAAGGUGGGGAUGACGUCAAGUCAGCAUGGCCUUUAUAUCUUGGGCA
rnacentral:rRNA from 1 species